CAGCGCCGCGGUAAUACGAAGGGUGCAAGCGUUACUCGGAAUUACUGGGCGUAAAGCGUGCGUAGGUGGUGGUUUAAGUCCGUUGUGAAAGCCCUGGGCUCAACCUGGGAAUUGCAGUGGAUACUGGGUCACUAGAGUGUGGUAGAGGAUAGUGGAAUUUCCGGUGUAGCAGUGAAAUGCGUAGAGAUCGGAAGGAACAUCUGUGGCGAAGGCGACUAUCUGGGCCAACACUGACACUGAGGCACGAAAGCGUGGGGAGCAAACAGGAUUAGAUACCCCUGUAGUCCCUGUCUCUUAUACA
rnacentral:rRNA from 1 species